rnacentral:rRNA from 1 species
AGUGAACGCUGGCGGUAGGCCUAACACAUGCAAGUCGAACGGCAGCACAGUAAGAGCUUGCACUUACGGGUGGCGAGUGGCGGACGGGUGAGGAAUACAUCGGAAUCUACUUUUUCGUGGGGGAUAACGUAGGGAAACUUACGCUAAUACCGCAUACGACCUACGGGUGAAAGCAGGGGAUCUUCGGACCUUGCGCGAUUGAAUGAGCCGAUGUCGGAUUAGCUAGUUGGCGGGGUAAAGGCCCACCAAGGCGACGAUCCGUAGCUGGUAUGAGAGGAUGAUCAGCCACACUGGAACUGAGACACGGUCCAGACUCCUACGGGAGGCAGCAGUGGGGAAUAUUGGACAAUGGGCGCAAGCCUGAUCCAGCCAUACCGCGUGGGUGAAUAAGGCCUUCGGGUUGUAAAGCCCUUUUGUUGGGAAAGAAAAGCAGCAGGUUAAUACCCCGCUGUUCUGACGGUACCCAAAGAAUAAGCACCGGCUAACUUCGUG